UACGUAGGGUGCAAGCGUUAAUCGGAAUUACUGGGCGUAAAGCGUGCGCAGGCGGUGAUGUAAGACAGGUGUGAAAUCCCCGGGCUUAACCUGGGAACUGCAUUUGUGACUGCAUCGCUGGAGUGCGGCAAAGGGGGAUGGAAUUCCGCGUGUAGCAGUGAAAUGCGUAGAGAUGCGGAGGAACACCGAUGGCGAAGGCAGCCCCCUGGGCUAGCACUGACGCUCAGGCACGAAAGCGUGGGGAGCAAACAGG
rnacentral:rRNA from 1 species